CCUUGAGCUGGAGUCAGCAUCACACAAGUUUCAGGACAUACAUGAGGACCCCCACUCAGCUCCUAGGGUUGGUGCUGCUCUGUCUUAUAGGUGCCAGAUGUGAUAUCCAGAUGACCCAGUCUCCAGGGUUGCUUUCUGCAUCUGUGGGAGAAACUGUCACCAUCACAUGCCAGUCAAGUCAAAACAUUAACAGUUAUUUAGCAUGGCAUCAGCAGAAACCAGGGGAACCUCCUAAGCUCCUCAUCUAUUAUGCAAACAGAUUGGAAGAUGGGGUCCCAUCCAGGUUCAGUGGCAGUGGAUCUGGCACACAGUAUUCUCUCAAGAUCAGUGGCAUGCAGACUGAAGAUGUAGGAACUUAUUACUGUCAACAGGGUAAUAAUUAUCCUCCCACAGUGAUUCAAGCCAUGACAUAA